CCUACGGGAGGCAGCAGUGGGGAAUAUUGCACAAUGGGCGAAAGCCUGAUGCAGCGACGCCGCGUGAGGGAUGACGGCCUUCGGGUUGUAAACCUCUUUCAGCAGGGAAGAAGCGAAAGUGACGGUACCUGCAGAAGAAGCGCCGGCUAACUACGUGCCAGCAGCCGCGGUAAUACGUAGGGCGCAAGCGUUGUCCGGAAUUAUUGGGCGUAAAGAGCUCGUAGGCGGCUUGUCACGUCGGAUGUGAAAGCCCGAGGCUUAACCUCGGGUCUGCAUUCGAUACGGGCUAGCUAGAGUGUGGUAGGGGAGAUCGGAAUUCCUGGUGUAGCGGUGAAAUGCGCAGAUAUCAGGAGGAACACCGGUGGCGAAGGCGGAUCUCUGGGCCAUUACUGACGCUGAGGAGCGAAAGCGUGGGGAGCGAACAGGAUUAGAUACCCUGGUAGUCCACGCCGUAAACGUUGGGAACUAGGUGUUGGCGACAUUCCACGUCGUCGGUGCCGCAGCUAACGCAUUAAGUUCCCCGCCUGGGGAGUACGGCCGCAAGGCUAAAACUUAAUGAAUUGACGG
rnacentral:rRNA from 1 species